rnacentral:rRNA from 1 species
UACGUAGGGGGCAAGCGUUGUCCGGAUUUAUUGGGCGUAAAGAGCGUGUAGGCGGCCAAGCAGGUCCGCUGUGAAAACUCGAGGCUCAACCUCGAGACGUCGGUGGAAACCGUUUGGCUAGAGUCCGGAAGAGGAGAGUGGAAUUCCCGGUGUAGCGGUGAAAUGCGCAGAUAUCGGGAAGAACACCCGUGGCGAAGGCGGCUCUCUGGCCCGUAACUGACGCUCAUGCACGACAGCGUGGGGAUCAAACAGG